AUGCGUUAGGGGUUGAAGCGGCAUCCUUUUGCUUUAUUGGCAAAAGAUAUAGCGGAAGACCCGACUCUGC
rnacentral:sRNA from 1 species